rnacentral:rRNA from 1 species
CACCUCCAGCAUUUCCAGUAUUGGAGGCACUGCCUGCCCGGUGACAUCAGUUAAACGGCCGCGGUAUUCUGACCGUGCAAAGGUAGCAUAAUCAUUUGCUCUCUAAAUAAGGACUUGUAUGAACGGCCACACGAGGGUUUAACUGUCUCUUACUUCCAAUCAGUGAAAUUGACCUCCCCGUGAAGAGGCGGGGAUAAGACAAUAAGACGAGAAGACCCUAUGGAGCUUUAAUUAACUAAUUCAAAAAGAAACUACUAACGACCCAACAGGAAUAAUAUAUCUCUUUUAUGAAUUAGCAAUUUAGGUUGGGGCGACCUCGGAGGACAAAAUAGCCUCCGAGUGAUUAUAAAUCUAGACUUACCAGUCAAAAUGCUUAAUCACUUAUUGAUCCAAAAAUUCUUUUGAUCAACGGAACAAGUUACCCUAGGGAUAACAGCGCAAUCCUAUCCGAGAGUCCAUAUCGACAAUAGGGUUUACGACCUCGAUGUUGGAUCAGGACAUCCUAAUGGUGCAGCAGCUAUUAAAGGUUCGUUUGUUCAACGAUUAAAGUCCU